UUAGGGUUUAGAGUUUAGGGUUUAGAGUUUAUGGUUUAGAGUUUAGAGUUUAGGGGUGGAGUUUAGGCUUUAGGGUUUAGAGUUAAAGGGUGGGGUUUAGGAUUUAGGGUUUAGGAUUUAGGAUUUAGGGUUUAGAGUUUAGGGUUUAGGGUUUAGAGUUAGGAGUGGGGUUUUGGGAUAAGAUUUCAAAUUUUAAAAAAUAAAAAAAAAUUAAAUUUUUCAAAAGAUAAAAUGCUAUUUUGGUCAUUUUAGUUUUUGAGGGCUAUUUUUGUGACAUAAACUUAGAAAAGUGCUAUUUUGGAGAUUUGUACAUUUUAAAACUUGGAUUUUAUGAUUAUAUGUUGAUUUUUUGUUGUAUGGUUUAAAUAUGAAGUUUAAAGUUUAGGGUAUAU
rnacentral:lncRNA from 1 species